CCUACGGGGGGCAGCAGUGGGGAAUAUUGGACAAUGGGGGCAACCCUGAUCCAGCCAUGCCGCGUGUGUGAAGAAGGCCCUCGGGUUGUAAAGCACUUUCAGUGAGGAAGAACGCCUGGUGGUUAAUACCCAUCAGGAAAGACAUCACUCACAGAAGAAGCACCGGCUAACUCCGUGCCAGCAGCCGCGGUAAUACGGAGGGUGCGAGCGUUAGUCGGAAUUACUGGGCGUAAAGCGCGCGUAGGUGGCUUGAUAAGCCGGUUGUGAAAGCCCCGGGCUCAACCUGGGAACGGCAUCCGGAACUGUCAAGCUAGAGUGCAGGAGAGGAAGGUAGAAUUCCCGGUGUAGCGGUGAAAUGCGUAGAGAUCGGGAGGAAUACCAGUGGCGAAGGCGGCCUUCUGGACUGACACUGACACUGAGGUGCGAAAGCGUGGGUAGCAAACAGGAUUAGAUACCCUGGUAGUC
rnacentral:rRNA from 1 species